rnacentral:pre_miRNA from 1 species
UUUAUACUCCCUCCGUCCGGAAAUACUUGUCAUCAAAAUGGAUAAAAGGGGAUGUAUCUAGAUGUAUUUUAGUUCUAGAUACAUCUUUUUUUAUCCAUUUUGAUGACAAGUAUUUUCGGACGGAGGGAGUAGGUC